UACGUAGGGAGCAAGCGUUGUUCGGAUUUACUGGGCGUAAAGGGCGCGUAGGCGGCGCGGUAAGUCAGGUGUGAAAUCUCGAGGCUCAACCUCGAAACUGCACUUGAUACUGCCUUGCUCGAGUACUGGAGAGGAGAUUGGAAUUUACGGUGUAGCAGUGAAAUGCGUAGAUAUCGUAAGGAAGACCAGUGGCGAAGGCGAAUCUCUGGACAGUUACUGACACUGAGGCACGAAGGCCAGGGGAGCAAACGGG
rnacentral:rRNA from 1 species